rnacentral:rRNA from 1 species
AGAGCGAACGCUGGCGGCAGGCCUAAUACAUGCAAGUCGAACGCACCUUCGGGUGAGUGGCGGACGGGUGAGUAACACGUGGGAACGUGCCCUUUGGUUCGGAAUAAUCCGGGGAAACCUGGCCUAAUACCGGAUGUGCCCUUCGGGGGAAAGAUUUAUCGCCAUUGGAGCGGCCCGCGUCUGAUUAGCUUGUUGGUGGGGUAAUGGCCCACCAAGGCUACGAUCAGUAGCUGGUCUGAGAGGAUGAUCAGCCACACUGGGACUGAGACACGGCCCAGACUCCUACGGGAGGCAGCAGUAGGGAAUCUUGCGCAAUGGGCGAAAGCCUGACGCAGCCAUGCCGCGUGAAUGAUGAAGGUCUUAGGAUUUGUAAAAUUCUUUCAGCGGGGAAGAUAAUGACUGUACCCGCAGAAGAAGCUCCGGCUAACUUCGUGCCAGCAGCCGC